rnacentral:rRNA from 1 species
CGUAGGGGUGCGAGCGUUAAUCGGAAUUACUGGGCGUAAGCGUGCGCAGGCGGUUUAGUAAGACAGGCGUGAAAUCCCCGGGCUCAACCUGGGAACUGCGCUUGUGACUGCUAAGCUAGAGUACGGCAGAGGGGGUGGAAUUCCACGUGUAGCAGUGAAAUGCGUAGAGAUGUGGAGGAACACCAAUGGCGAAGGCAGCCCCCUGGGUCGAUACUGACGCUCAUGCACGAAAGCGUGGGUAGCAAACAGGAUUAGAUACCCUGGUAGACCACGCCCUAAACGAUGUCAACUAGGUGUUGGGAGGGUAAAACCUUUUGUACCGGAGCUAACGCGUGAAGUUGACCGCCUGGGGAGUACGGCCGCAAGGUUA